rnacentral:rRNA from 1 species
GAUGAACGCUGGCGGCGUGCCUAAUACAUGCAAGUCGAGCGAACGGACGAGAAGCUUGCUUCUCUGAUGUUAGCGGCGGACGGGUGAGUAACACGCGGAUAACCUACCUAUAAGACUGGGAUAACUUCGGGAAACCGGAGCUAAUACCGGAUAAUAUUUUGAACCGCAUGGUUCAAAAGUGAAAGACGGUCUUGCUGUCACUUAUAGAUGGAUCCGCGCUGCAUUAGCUAGUUGGUAAGGUAACGGCUUACCAAGGCAACGAUGCAUAGCCGACCUGAGAGGGUGAUCGGCCACACUGGAACUGAGACACGGCCCAGACUCCUACGGGAGGCAGCAGUAGGGAAUCUUCCGCAAUGGGCGAAAGCCUGACGGAGCAACGCCGCGUGAGUGAUGAAGGUCUUCGGAUCGUAAAACUCUGUUAUUAGGGAAGAACAUAUGUGUAAGUAACUGUGCACAUCUUGACGGUACCUAAUCAGAAAGCCACGGCUAACUACGUG